rnacentral:tRNA from 1 species
UCUAAAAUGACAGAUAGAUGUAUAAGAUUUAGGAUCUUAUUAGGGAAAUUUAUAUUCCUUUUAGAA